rnacentral:rRNA from 1 species
UGGCUCAGGAUGAACGCUGGCGGCGUGCCUAAUACAUGCAAGUCGAGCGAAUGGAUUAAGAGCUUGCUCUUAUGAAGUUAGCGGCGGACGGGUGAGUAACACGUGGGUAACCUGCCCAUAAGACUGGGAUAACUCCGGGAAACCGGGGCUAAUACCGGAUAACAUUUUGAACCGCAUGGUUCGAAAUUGAAAGGCGGCUUCGGCUGUCACUUAUGGAUGGACCCGCGUCGCAUUAGCUAGUUGGUGAGGUAACGGCUCACCAAGGCAACGAUGCGUAGCCGACCUGAGAGGGUGAUCGGCCACACUGGGACUGAGACACGGCCCAGACUCCUACGGGAGGCAGCAGUAGGGAAUCUUCCGCAAUGGACGAAAGUCUGACGGAGCAACGCCGCGUGAGUGAUGAAGGCUUUCGGGUCGUAAAACUCUGUUGUUAGGGAAGAACAAGUGCUAGUUGAAUAAGCUGGCACCUUGACGGUACCUAACCAGAAAGCCACGGCUAACUACGUGCCAGCAGCCGCGGUAAUACGUAGGUGGCAAGCGUUAUCCGGAAUUAUUGGGCGUAAAGCGCGCGCAGGUGGUUUCUUAAGUCUGAUGUGAAAGCCCACGGCUCAACCGUGGAGGGUCAUUGGAAACUGGGAGACUUGAGUGCAGAAGAGGAAAGUGGAAUUCCAUGUGUAGCGGUGAAAUGCGU